ACGCACGCUGGCGGCGUGCUUAACACAUGCAGGUCGAGCGGUAAGGCCUCUUCGGGGGUACACGAGCGGCGAACGGGUGAGUAACACGUGGGUGACCUGCCCUCAGCUCUGGGAUAAGCCUGGGAAACUGGGUCUAAUACCGGAUAUGACCUUUCCUCGCAUGGGGUUUGGUGGAAAGUUUUUUCGGCUGGGGAUGGGCCCGCGGCCUAUCAGCUUGUUGGUGGGGUGAUGGCCUACCAAGGCGACGACGGGUAGCCGGCCUGAGAGGGCGACCGGCCACACUGGGACUGAGACACGGCCCAGACUCCUACGGGAGGCAGCAGUGGGGAAUAUUGCGCAAUGGGCGGAAGCCUGACGCAGCGACGCCGCGUGGGGGAUGACGGCCUUCGGGUUGUAAACCUCUUUCGACCCCGACGAAUUUGGACGGUAGGGGUAGAAGAAGCACCGGCCAACUACGUG
rnacentral:rRNA from 1 species